AUGAGGCCUGGCCAGAAAGUGUGGGCUGUUGAAAGGAUUGGAAGAAUCACUCUGCAGGCAUUAAAAGACAAGAAGGAAUUGGAAGUUGCUGCUCAUCUUGUGAUCACCACACUCACACAGUUCUGACCUGGGCUCCUUGGUUCUUGGGUAGACUCAUCUUUCAUCAUGUUGUCGAGGCUAUUCUGUCAGCUCACUUUGGAGUGGGAGAAACGAGACAGCCACUGGUUCAGUGUGGGGCCCUCUUCUCCUUAAGUGCACAGUACACGCUUGUCAGUGUUCUCCCUUCCUCAGGAUGAUGCUGUUUCUGUCCUGGAUACCAGAGGAAGAAAAUCAGACCUCUGCCUCAUGCAUCUUCCUUGCCCUUCUGUGCAUCAUAAACGCGACACUGCACAAGGAGGAUUUCAGACUGCCGUUGGCUCCAGGUAACCAGAACAAAGGAGAAUGAAGCCAGGAGUAAGGGGCGUGGUGCCUCCAAGAUUGAUUGGUUACUUUUCUGCUUCUGUGACAAAAACGCCAUGAGCAAGGAGGUUUCCAUCAAGUGACAGCUGCCUUCCACGACCUGCCCUGUGCUAUUCUCCUGUCGGGGCUCCCCACAGGAACUGAAACACCAGCUGUAGAUUGGGGUGAAGAAGCAGGAGAUGAAAUAAAAUGAUACCCAGAUGUGCUGGCCUUUGGCAAAGAUGUUUAUAAAGACAAGGACUCCACAGC